rnacentral:piRNA from 1 species
UGAGAGACCACAUACAGCUUUGAAA